GGACUACAAGGGUUUCUAAUCCCAUUCGCUACCCACGCUUUCGUGUUUCAGUGUCAGGAGUGGCCCAAUGUACUGCCUUCGCUUUUGGUGUUCCCCAUGAUAUCAACGGAUUUCACCCCUACUCCAUGAGUUCCAUACAUCCCUGCCAUCCUCUAGCUGUGCCGUUUCAGUCGCGGAUCUGGAGUUAAGCUCCAGGCUUUGACAACUGACUAACACUGCCACCUACACACCCUUUACGCCCAAUGAUUCCGGAUAACGCUCGGGGCACUCGUAUUACCGCGGCUGCUGGCAC
rnacentral:rRNA from 1 species